UAAUAAGUGUUUUGUGGCACUUUUUAAAUCCAUAUCCACCUUGUGUGCAAUGUCAGUCGAUCUUCUUCAUGGAGAUCGACCAAACAUCAACCUUUAUCUUUUAACUCUUUGUCUGAAAAAUAUUAUGAAUAAACAAUUCAAAAUA
rnacentral:misc_RNA from 1 species